rnacentral:rRNA from 1 species
UGUGAAGAAGGCCUUCGGGUUGUAAAGCACUUUCAGUCGUGAGGAAGGUAGUGUAGUUAAUAGCUGCAUUAUUUGACGUUAGCGACAGAAGAAGCACCGGCUAACUCCGUGCCAGCAGCCGCGGUAAUACGGAGGGUGCGAGCGUUAAUCGGAAUUACUGGGCGUAAAGCGCAUGCAGGUGGUUUGUUAAGUCAGAUGUGAAAGCCCGGGGCUCAACCUCGGAAUUGCAUUUGAAACUGGCAGACUAGAGUACUGUAGAGGGGGGUAGAAUUUCAGGUGUAGCGGUGAAAUGCGUAGAGAUCUGAAGGAAUACCGGUGGCGAAGGCGGCCCCCUGGACAGAUACUGACACUCAGAUGCGAAAGCGUGGGGAGCAAACAGGAUUAGAUACCCUGGUAGUCCACGCCGUAAACGAUGUCUACUUGGAGGUUGUGGCCUUGAGCCGUGGCUUUCGGAGCUAACGCGUUAAGUAGACCGCCUGGGGAGUACGGUCGCAAGAUUAAAACUCAAAUGAAUUGACGGGGGCCCGCACAAGCGGUGGAGCAUGUGGUUUAAUUCGAUGCAACGCGAAGAACCUUACCUACUCUUGACAUCCAGAGAACUUUCCAGAGAUGGAUUGGUGCCUUCGGGAACUCUGAGACAGGUGCUGCAUGGCUGUCGUCAGCUCGUGUUGUGAAAUGUUGGGUUAAGUCCCGCAACGAGCGCAACCCUUAUCCUUGUUUGCCAGCGAGUAAUGUCGGGAACUCCAGGGAGACUGCCGGUGAUAAACCGGAGGAAGGUGGGGACGACGUCAAGUCAUCAUGGCCCUUACGAGUAGGGCUACACACGUGCUACAAUGGCGCAUACAGAGGGCAGCCAACUUGCGAAAGUGAGCGAAUCCCAAAAAGUGCGUCGUAGUCCGGAUUGGAGUCUGCAACUCGACUCCAUGAAGUCGGAAUCGCUAGUAAUCGUGGAUCAGAAUGCCACGGUGAAUACGUUCCCGGGCCUUGUACACACCGCCCGUCACACCAUGGGAGUGGGCUGCAAAAGAAGUAGGUAGUUUAACCUUCGGGGGGACGCUUACCACUUUGUGGUUCAUGACUGGGGUGAAGUCGUAACAAGGUAGCGCUAGGGGAACCUGGCGCUGGAUCACCUCCUUAAACGAUGAU